UUAGAGCUUGAGAGAGGGCAAGAUUGGAUCUCUGAUAAUCAUCAGCAUAGAAAUUAUCCUAACGUGAGGCUGAGGAUAAUAAUCCUGAGAGAUUCUCAGUGGACUGCUCCCCAAGGCCAUUACAGAAUGCUGAAGUCGGCCCUCUUUAGACAAAGGGCCUCAGAGAGUUUCUUGGCCUGAUAUUCUUACAUUGUUAGUGGAGAGUUUCAUCCACCUUCAAGGCAGUCUAUGAAAGGUGUGGAUUUCGAAUCUCAGACCAUUCCCUGGAGCUGGUAGUCUCUGCUUGCAUUGCGUAUUUGAGGAAGGCAAAUCCAGCCUACAAAACCAAGAAAGAUGCCAUCCCUAUGUACCAGACACUGCUCUGGGGGAGAGCGAGACACAAGGCUAUUAUCUUGCCUCACGUAGCUAAGCUGUUUGACUUUUGACAAAUCCCUGCCUCCCUCUGGCCCUCAAUUCCUCGACCUACUCAGCGAGGUGCCCUCAUGGUGAAGGUAAACCAUUUAGACUCCGAUGCCAGCUUCAUCUCUUUCCUGUUGUGUGACCACAAGCGGGUUAAUGUGGGCUCCCUGAGCCUGUUUCCUCAUCUGUAAAAUGGGGAUAACUGAACCCGUCUCACCGGGUGGCACUGAGGGUGGAAUACAGGGACCCCGCACCUGCGCUCGCGGCG